UAGAAAACACACUAACCAACCACCCAUGC
rnacentral:piRNA from 1 species